GAGGUCUGUGAUGAUGCUGUCUCGGUGCUCGAGUGUCACAGCCAUGAGAGCGCCCGAUCCAUGCACUACCAUCUGAGACCGC